GCGAGAUGACGAUAAAAUUCAUGGUCUGUCAAUCCACUGAAUUCUGUGAUGUUACUCUUGAAUCUCGACAGGUUCUGAUCGC